UUGGAAGGUCCACAGGCAAUUGGAGUCAGAGUAAUAUGACAAGUGAAUUUCUUUUUAUUCAAUUUUUGCGGGUUUAUUUGCGUACUGCUCAUUUGUGCCACAUUGGGGGUCUCUCAUCGGCCAUGGCCAUGUUAAUGGCUGGAGCUUGCCAUGUCUUAAUGCCUAAGUUUGAAGCUAAAACAGCCAUUGAGGUUAUAGAGAAACAUGACAUCACUGCUUUGAUCACUGUUCUGGCCAUGGUCGCUGAUCUAAUAUCCUUUCUCAGGUUAUCUACAAAGAGUGAUCUUUAACAAGCAAUGUAAAUUUUAAAUAUAAUGUGUAGAGAGCAUCGGCCAUUACAUUAUCUAAGUUCCAAGUUAUGCUUUUCGAGGGGUACUUCUGCUUAAUUCCUAGUUUCCUCAGGGAGAAGGGACCGUGGAAAGGAAGAGACUGUGUCAAAAAGAUAUUGAAUGGCAGAGGAAGUUUGUCAAUUGAUCUUAUUAAAGAAGCUGGCAACUUCUUCCAAGAGCUAAGAUUCUCUCAGCCUGUGCUGUGCAUCCUCUAAACCAUAAUGCUGUUAAUUGUACCACAUCAAUGCUAGUUGGAGUAGAACCUGCUAGCAAAGUGCAUUGAACUUCUUUCCUCAUCAUACUAUUUUUUCUCCUUUGUUUUCUCAAUAUGCAGGAAUGACAGAGACUCGUUCUUCACUAAUGUUCAUGACUCUCUAUGACCCACAUUUCUCGAUUUCCUUACCAGCCCCUUCAUUUUCAUGUCGGAACAGAUCUCAGUUCAGUUCAAACACCACGAGGCAUUUGUGUUGGCAAGCCUGCCCCACAUGUUGAAUUGAGGACAGAUGGUGAUGAUUCAAUUGGCAAUGGGAAAAUUCUAACUAGAUGUCCACACAUGAUGACUGGAUACUGGCAUCAAGUUCGGUCAUCAGUCUCUAACAGUCAUUCAUGAUUUGACACUGGUGAUGUUGGUUUCAUUGAUGAGCAUGGUCAGGUGUGGCUCAUUGGUCGAGAAAGUGGUUGGAUCAAGACUGGGAGAGAAAAUGUUUACCUGAAGAGCAUAGGUAGAGGCAAUACUGUUCCAACAUCCAGGAGUAGCUGGAAUCGUCAUCAUAGGAAUUCCUGAAGCUCGCCUGACUGAGAUGGUUGUUGGGUCUAUUCGUGUGAAAGAAAACUGGCUUUGGUCCGAUAAAAGCCAUGAACUUCGAGAUGAAAAAGAAGAACGUUUGUUGUCUGAUGAAAUUCUUCGACAGUACUACAGAUACAGGAACUUAACAGGGUUUAAGAUACCAAAAACUUUCAUUCCUUGGAAGAAGCGUUUCCCGACUACUACAACAGGAAAAAUACGAAGGGAUGUAGUUCGCCAGGAAGUUGUUUCUCAUGUUCGGUUCAUACAAAGCAAUUUAUGACUGCUGACAUUGUGACUUCCCAAUUGAAUGAUGAAAUAUGAAAUGACUCCGGUCUGGCUCUUACCGUUCUUCAA